CAGGACGAACGCUGGCGGCGUGCUUAACACAUGCAAGUCGAACGGGGAUAUACUGGAGGAGAGCUUCGGCAGGAAUCGGGUAUAUUCUAGUGGCGGACGGGUGAGUAACGCGUGAACAAUCUGUCCCAGACAGGGGGAUAACACUUGGAAACAGGUGCUAAUACCGCAUGAGACCACGGGGUGGCAUCAUCUUGGGGUAAAAGGAGAAAUCCGGUUUGGGGUGAGUUCGCGUCCGAUUAGAUAGUUGGUGAGGUAACGGCCCACCAAGUCGACGAUCGGUAGCCGACCUGAGAGGGUGAUCGGCCACAUUGGAACUGAGAGACGGUCCAAACUCCUACGGGAGGCAGCAGUGGGGAAUAUUGGGCAAUGGGCGAAAGCCCUGACCCAGCAACGCCGCGUGAGUGAAGAAGGCUUUCGGGUUGUAAAGCUCUGUUAUAGGGGACGAAGGAAGUGACGGUACCCUAUAAGGAAGCCCCGGCUAACUACGUGCCAGCAGCUGC
rnacentral:rRNA from 1 species